AUGGCAUUUGCUAGUUUCUCUGAUUUCUUUUGCUUUAGUUUCCCUCAACUGGUGUCAAGAAUGUAUCCAGCAGGGUCCAAAGUUUUCUGUGAUGAUGCACUUAUCCCUUGGGAACAUGUGACUUUAUAUCCAUACAAAUUUUUUAAUAUAUCAUUUCACUGCCUUCAGGAGGACAUUUGGUAAAGUGAUUUAGAGAAAUUGAAAUGAUUAAGUCUAAAAAUUCAAUAUGUGUUCCAGAGUUGUGGAUUGAGUCAAAAGAGUGAGGAGAGAAUAUUUAAGUCAUUUAAUUUUAUCUAUAUUAAUUUCUUAAUCCCCCUGCUUUACCCACUGGCUCUCUCUGGCUUUCGUUCUCAUUUCUUUUGUGAAAUUCACAAAGGGAACAUCAGAAUCAUCUAUACUAGACAUGGUGACUAUAGGUAGCAAGAUACAGGAUUCUUGAAAUUGCUAAAAGAGUGAAUAUAAAGGAGUCUCACCAUAAAAAUGACAACUUUAUGAGGUAAUGCAUAUGUUAAUUAGGUAGAUGUAUUCAUCCAUCUGCAUAUUUACUUCAAAACAAUAUGUUGUAUAUGGUAAAUACAAACAAUCUUAUCUGUCAAUAAAAAAGAAAAUAAGUAAAUAAAAUACCUAUAGCUCACUUAGAUGGCUUGGGUAAAAGUGCCUCUUAAUUGUUGAAUUCACUGCUGGUUUUGAUUUUCUCAAGCUGAAUAGCAAGCCACCUACUAAUGGAAACAAAUUUGCUUAUUAGCUUGGCAGUCAUAUUAAAUUUGGAAUUUCAUUGAAUUAUUUUUGUGAAUGACCAAGGCUGCUUCUGUGGCACACACGGAACUGGAUCGGGGCUGAAUAGUACAUUUGUCUAUGUAUCGUUUUGCAAGUAGUUUGAUGUUCUCUCUCUCUCUUCCUUUCUUUCAGGGGCUUCUUGUGUGAUCUCAAACCAUUUCCUUUUAACUUACCAUUUAAUAUUUGACCAUCUAAGUAUGAAUCAUAUGUGUGUGUGUUGCACACAUUCCUGUUUCAUACACAUUCUUUAAUAACUCUAUAAUAGCAAAACAUGGAAAGAAUGUGCCAUCAUAAAGUAUUUUUUACAAGCAUCUGUACAUCUUCAGUGAUACAUUUGUUGCCAGUUUGAUGCAGAGUUAAGCUGUAAUUAUUUGGACUAAUGAGGUUCCCUGCAGUUAAAAUGUUUAGUAACUACUUUUCAGAAGAAAGAAUGUCAGUCACACAUUUUUCUGACCAAUUCUAAAAUUUAGAGUCCAGAGUUUUUUAAUUUUUCAAAUGAAAGUUGAAAUCCAAUCUGGACCUGGCGGGAAUCUACUGAUGCUUGUCCUCUUGCAGCCCUUGAACUGCUUCCUCCGUUGCCACUGACACCUGCCCACGUGAAGAGGUAGUUUUGACCAUGCCAUGUUUUGCUUUCCCUCCAAAUCUCAAAACUUGUAGUAUCCAGUUUUCCUG
rnacentral:lncRNA from 10 species